CCACCCAUAUUAUGGAAGGCAGCCUACUUUACUCAAAAUCCAUCAAUUUAAAUGUUAAUCUCAUCCCAAAACACCUUUACAGAAACAUCCAGAAUAAUGUUUGACCAAAUAUCUGGACACCAUGGCCCAGCCAAGCUGGCACAUAAAAUUAACCAUCACAGCAGUUCCCAAGCUGCUUCCUGCGAAGGAAGUUCUUCUUCCAGGGAAAAUGGAGUCUGUCCUGACAAAAGACAACCACGUUCCCAGCGUGAAUAAGCUAAACUGUGGAGGAGGCUACUUGAAACCAAUCUAAAUCCUACAAAGGCUGUUUGAGCUGAAUCCAUCAGGACUCACACAUGCAGCCACUGAAAGGAGGCUGACCUUUACAGAUGGCUUCCAGGGGCUUCUCAUUGGGUUGUCUAGGAGAGGCACUGGCAGGAGAUGGCAAUGUGGGAGGAGAGGAAGGCCCAGAUAUCCAUCCCUCCAGCUGGCCAUUAGUUAGCAGUGGCCUCUCCUAGAGACACUGACCCAGCUGUGCUCCACAGCUCUUUCUAAGUCCUGGAAACCACUCCUUCCCUCUACCUUUUCAGCCCCAGGGGUGAUAAUGAAUCCCCAGCUGUUUUACUCUAAGUGCUUCACCAUCCUUUUGGUUUUCUUUAACCCUUUCUAUACCUUUGUAACUCAUUAAACUCUGCUCAGUUACUUUAUUUGAGAAUCCCAUCAUUUUUACGCUACUGGGAUCCUGACUGAUAUAAGCACUAAUUAAAAAAAAAA